rnacentral:rRNA from 1 species
CCUACGGGAGGCAGCAGUAGGGAAUCUUCGGCGAUGGGCGAAAGCCUGACCGAGCAACGCCGCGUGAAUGAUGAAGGCCUUCGGGUUGUAAAAUUCUGUUAUAAGGGAAGAACGACUUUAGUAGGAAAUGGCUAGAGUGUGACGGUACCUUAUGAGAAAGCCACGGCUAACUACGUGCCAGCAGCCGCGGUAAUACGUAGGUGGCGAGCGUUAUCCGGAAUUAUUGGGCGUAAAGAGCGCGCAGGUGGUUGAUUAAGUCUGAUGUGAAAGCCCACGGCUUAACCGUGGAGGGUCAUUGGAAACUGGUCGACUUGAGUGCAGAAGAGGGAAGUGGAAUUCCAUGUGUAGCGGUGAAAUGCGUAGAGAUAUGGAGGAACACCAGUGGCGAAGGCGGCUUCCUGGUCUGUAACUGACACUGAGGCGCGAAAGCGUGGGGAGCAAACAGGAUUAGAUACCCUGGUAGUCCACGCCGUAAACGAUGAGUGCUAAGUGUUGGGGGUCGAACCUCAGUGCUGAAGUUAACGCAUUAAGCACUCCGCCUGGGGAGUACGGUCGCAAGACUGAAACUCAAAUGAAUUGACGG